GAAGUAAAAGUCGUAACAAGGUUUCCGUAGGUGAACCUGCGGAAGGAUCAUUACAGUAGUCAUCCGGGUUGCCGCAAGGCCUCCCGGGUAACCUACCACCCUUUGUUUAUUACACUUUGUUGCUUUGGCAGGCCUGCCCUCGGGCUGCUGGCCCCGGCCGGCGAGCGUCUGCCAGAGGACCUAAACUCUGUUUGUCUAUAAUGUCUGAGUACUAUAUAAUAGUUAAAACUUUCAACAACGGAUCUCUUGGUUCUGGCAUCGAUGAAGAACGCAGCGAAAUGCGAUAAGUAAUGUGAAUUGCAGAAUUCAGUGAAUCAUCGAAUCUUUGAACGCACAUUGCGCCCCCUGGUAUUCCGGGGGGCAUGCCUGUCCGAGCGUCAUUACAACCCUCAAGCUCAGCUUGGUGUUGGGCCCCGCCGCCCCGGCGGGCCCUAAAGUCAGUGGCGGUGCCGUCCGGCUCCGAGCGUAGUAAUUCUUCUCGCUCUGGAGGUCCGGUCGUGUGCUUGCCAGCAACCCCCAAUUUUUUUCAGGUUGACCUCGGAUCAGGUAGGGAUACCCGCUGAACUUAAGCA
rnacentral:rRNA from 1 species